GAGCCCGUGGCACUGCGACGGUUCCGAACCGCGUCAGAUCCGGGAGGAAGCAGCGCUAAGGAGCAGUCGCAGGUGCCCGGGUUAUGG
rnacentral:SRP_RNA from 1 species